UAGGGCAAGUCCUACUCUCCUUUACAAAGAGAACGUUUAUAUGUAAUUGUAUGUUUGAUUGGGGCAAUACUAUAUCUAUUUAUAUAGAAAAAGAACUAUAUUUAUUGAAAUAAUAAAAGGUUCGAGCAGGUUAACAAGCAUUAAUACUAAAUGUGUUUCAUCGUCUACUUAUUGCUAAAUUAUAAUUGAUUGUUCAUCAAAAAAGCAAUUCGUUAGUUGGGUUAAAAUCGUUGUAAAGCAGAUUUGUUUAUAUAUUUAAUUUUUGUAUAUAGUUAAAAAUUAAUAUUAGUACGCAAGGAUUCAUUAUUUGUAAUUUAAAUAUAUUA
rnacentral:ncRNA from 1 species